rnacentral:lncRNA from 1 species
CCAUCUGGUCCUGGACUUCUGUUUGUUGGAAGUUUUUUAAUCACAGUUUCAAUUUCAGUUCUUGUGAUAGGUCCAUUCAUCUUUUCUAUUUCAUCUUGGGUUUAGUCUUGGAAGAUUGUAUUUUUCUAAGAAUUUGUCCAUUUCUUCUAGGUUUUCCAUUUUAUUGGCACAGAGUUCCAUGUAGUCUCUUAUGAUCCUUUGUAUUUCUGUGAUGUCCAUUGUAACUUCUCCUUUCUCAUUUCUAAUUUUAUUGAUUUGAGUCCUCUCUUUUUUUCUUGAUAAGUCUGGCUAGGGGUUUAUCAAUUUUGUUGAUCUUUUCAAAGAACCAGCUUUUUGUUUCACUGAUCUUUUCUAUGGUUUUCUUCAUUUCUUUUUUAUUGAUUUCUGCUGUGAUCUUUAUGAUUUCUUUCCUUCUGCUAACUCCAGGUCUUGUUUGUUCCUCUGUCUCUAGCUGCUUUAGAUGUAAAGUUAGGUUUUUUAUUUGGGCUUUUUCUUGUUUCCUGAGAUAGGCUUGUAUUGAUAUAAAGUUGCCUCUUGCAACUGCUUUUGCUGCAUCCCAUAGGUUUUGGAGUGUCAUAUCUUUCUUGUCAUUUGCUUCUAGGUAUUUUUUAAUUUCCUUUUGAUUUCUUAAGUGAUCCAUUGGUUGUUUAGUCACAUGUUGUUGAGUCUCCACAUGUUUGUGUUUUUUGCAAUAUUUUUCUUGUUGAUUUCCAGUCAUAUAACAUUGUGGUCUGAAACAAUGCUUGAUAUGAUUUAAAUUUUAUUAAAGCUGCUGAGGCUUUAUUUGCAGCCCAGAAUGUGAUCAAUCUUAGAAAAUGUUCUGUGUGCACUUGAGAAGAAUGUGUAUUCCACUGCUUUUGGAUGGAAUGUUCUAUAAAUAUCUAUUAAGUCCAUCUGGUCUAAUGCUUCAUUCAGGGCCUGUGUUUUCUUGUUGAUUUUAUGUAUGGUUGAUCUGUCCAUUGCUGUAAGUGGGAUGUUAAAAUCCCCCACUAUUAUUGUGCUAUUGUCAGUUUCUCCUUUUAAGGUUGUUAGCAGUUGCCUUAUAUAUUGAGGUGAUUCUAGGUUGGGUGCAUACAUAUUUAAAAUUGUUAUAUCAUCAUCUUGGAUUAAUCCUUUGAUCAUUAUGUAAUGUCCUUCCUUGUCUCUUAAAAUAUUCUUCAUUUUAAGGUCUAUUUUGUCUGACAUGCAUAUUUCUACUCCAGCUUUCUUUUGAUUCUCAUUUGCAUGGAAUAUUUUCUUCCAUUCUCCCACUUUCAAUUUGUAUGUGUCCCUAGAAGUGAAGUGGGUCUCUUGUUUUUAUAUCCAUUCAGCCAGGGUAUGUUGUUUGACUGAAGCAUUUACUUCGUUAACAUUUAAGGUAAUUAUUGAUAUGUAUGUUCUUACUGCCAUUUUAUUAACUGUUUUGGAUGUGGUUUUGUUGCUCUUUUUUCUUCCCUUCUUCCUUUGUUUUCUCAUCUUGUGGUUUGAUGAUUAUCUUGUAUUUGAGUUGAUUUUUCUUAUUUGUUUUUGUAUCAAUUGUAGAUUUUUGGUUUGCAGUUGCCCUGACAUUUUGAUAUAGGAGUAUAUUUUUAUGAGAUUGUUUUAAGUUGUUGAUCUCUUAAUUGCAAGUGCAGACCAGUGUCCUGCAUUUGUACCUCUUCUCACAAUUUCUGAUUUUGGUAGCAUAUUUGUGCAUGGAUGAUUUCCUACCUUUACUGUAUAUAUCCCUUUACUUGUGAGCCUUGUCAAAUGUGGUAUUGUUGUUUCAGGUUGUGGCCUUUUAUUUUCUGCCUAGAGAAGUUUCUUUAGUAUUUGUUUUAAGACUUGUUUAGUAUUGCUGAAUUCUCUUAGCUGCUGCUUAUCUCUAAAUCUUUUGAUUUCUCCUUCAAAUCUGAUUGAGAACCUUGCUGGGUACAGUAAUCUUGGUUGGAGGUUUUUUCCUUUCAUCACGUUAAGUAUUUCAUGCCACUCCCUUCUGGCCUGCAGAGUUUCUCUGAAAAAUCUGCCAUUAACCUUGUUGGGGUUCCCUUGUAUGUUAUUUGUUUAUUUUCCCUAGCUUCUUUCUAUAUUUUCUCUUUGUUUUUAAUUUUGUUCAGUUUGAUUAAUAUGUGUCUUGGUGUGUUCCUCCUUGGGUUUAUUUUAAAUGGUACUCAUUGUGCUUCCUGGAUUUGGGUGAGUCAUUCCUUUCCCAUACUAGGGAAGUUUUUGGUAUUAUGUCUUUGAAUAUUUUUUCUGUCCCUUUCUCUCUCUCUUCUCCUCUGGCACCCCUAUAAUAUGGAUGUUGGUGCAUUUAAUGUUGUCCCAGAGUUCUUUGAGACUGUCUUCAUUUCUUUUCAAUCUUUUUUCUCUUUUCUAUUCCACAUCCAUGAUUUCCACCAGUCUGUCCUCCACCUCACUUAUUCAUUCUUCUGCCUCCUGUAUUCUGCUGUUGGCUGCUUCUAAUGAAUUUUUUAUUUUGGUUAUUUUGUUUUGAAUCUCUUCUUGCUUAAGUUUUAAGUCAUAUUUAUUUGCUCAGUGUUUCCUAUAAAUUAUCCAUCUUUGCCUCCAGUUUAUUUCCAAUGUCUUGUAUCAUCUUCCACAUCAUCAGUCUAAAGUCUUUUUCCUGGAAGUUGAUAAUCUCCAGAUCACUUAGCUGUUUUUCUGGGGUUUUUUCUUUCUCCCUUAUCUGAGUUAUAGUUCUCUGCCUUUUCUUUUUUAUAGGUUUUGGUGUGGUGUCCUUUUUACAGAUAAUAGAGUUGUAGCCUCUCUUACUUCUGAUGUCUGCCCGCCUGUGGCUGAAGUUGGUAUGGGGGCUUGCUUUAGGCUUCCUGAUGGGAGGGACUGGUGCCUGCCCACAGGUAGGUGGGGCUUAUUUGUAUUUUCUGGUGGUUGGGGCUUUGUCUAUGGGUGAGAUUAGAGGGGCUCUGUGCCUGGGGGGUCCUUAGGCAGCCUAUUUACCGAUGGGUGGGGCCAGAUUUUCCCAAAAUGGCCACCUCUGGAGAAUCACACACUGAUGAAUAUUCCAGAGAGCUCUGCCUCCAAUGUUCUUCCCUCAUAACAAGCCACAGUCACCCACUGUUUUCCCAGGAGGUCCUCCAAGAUCUGCAGUCAGGUUCAACCCAUAUUCCUAUGGAUACUCUGCUUUGCCCUGGGACCCCAUGCCAAUAAAAGUCUGCAUGUGCCUUUCAAGAAUGGGGUCCAUUUCCCCUCAGUCCCAUGGAGCUCCUGCACAUAAUCCCCACUGGCCUUCAAUGCCAGAUGCUCCGGGGGCUCUUUCUCCAAGUGCCGGAUCCCAAGGCAUGGGAUUUUGAGGUGGGUCUUUUACUCCUGUGGGUGACUCUCUGUGAUAAGAGUUACUUUCCAGUCUGUGGGGGUUCCCUCCCAAGAGGUAAGGGGUUCUUAUAUUGUGUAAUCACCCCUCCAACCUCUUGAUGUGGCCUCCUCUUUGUCUUCUGGAGUAGGAUAUCUUUUUGAAAGUUUCUGGUCCAUUUGGUUGAAGAUUGCUCAGCAUUUGGUUGUAAUUUUGUUGUUUUUAUGAGAGAAGUUGAGCUCUGGUCCUUCUAUUCCACCAUCUUAAUUCCAUCCCCAAAACACAUUUUAAAGUUUCUGAUGCAUCAUUACUGUUGAAGGGACUGUGAUCAUUAUAUUUGAAUAAAUCUUGUUAGCUAAAGGAACAUAUGAUAUUGUAUGGAAAUAACCAUAGUCAUAAUUAUUGUCAAUAGUAAGAGCUAACAUAGUAAGUAUCUAUAAGCAAUUGUGAUAAAUAAUAAAGUCUUAUAUAUUUUCUCACUGUAUUGUUUGGGGUCCCAGGAUAACACAUUUUUGUAGGACCUUGUAAAGAUAUUUGUAUCAAACAAAUGUCACCUUGUAAAGAUAUUUUAUUUUAUUUCAUCACUAAACUGUCCUCUAAAUUAGUUGAAAAUUGUAGGUCUCAAGAUAAAAAUAGGCUCAUGAUGCCUUGUUAUGAUGUGGCAAUUUGAAUUUUGAUAUAGGUGAUGAGUUUGAAAUGUGAGGGUGUAUUCACCUUCUUGCAAUAUAAUUUGGAGGAAUGGAUAGGUCAAUCAUGUAGGUAAACAGACUUUGCAUGCUAAUUACUCUUGAGAGUCAAGACUUUAUUAAGCUAUUCUUAUAGGAGACAAAGCUUCUUAUCCCUUUAUACAGGCCAGUCUGAAGCAUUGCCACAUGAUGUCUUGUCUGUUUUGACGCUGGAAACUUAUAGUGGAAUCGUUGACUCUCUGAUCACUAGCAGUUGACCAAGCCUCCUUUGAUUCCCAGAAUGUUGAAACUUCUCUCUUUUGCCUGUCAUCCCUCACAGUCAGCAAUUUGCCAAAGUUUCAUCUUUGAGGUGUGUUGCAUUUCUAAGUACACAUUAAAAUCAGCUCACCAAUU